rnacentral:rRNA from 1 species
GACGAACGCUGGCGGCGUGCUUAACACAUGCAAGUCGAACGGAAAGGCCCUGCUUUUGUGGGGUGCUCGAGUGGCGAACGGGUGAGUAACACGUGAGUAACCUGCCCUUGACUUUGGGAUAACUUCAGGAAACUGGGGCUAAUACCGGAUAGGAGCUCCUGCUGCAUGGUGGGGGUUGGAAAGUUUCGGCGGUUGGGGAUGGACUCGCGGCUUAUCAGCUUGUUGGUGGGGUAGUGGCUUACCAAGGCUUUGACGGGUAGCCGGCCUGAGAGGGUGACCGGCCACAAUGGGACUGAGAUACGGCCCAGACUCCUACGGGAGGCAGCAGUGGGGAAUAUUGCACAAUGGGCGGAAGCCUGAUGCAGCAACGCCGCGUGCGGGAUGACGGCCUUCGGGGUGUAAACCGCUUUCGCCUGUGACGAAGCGUGAGUGACGGUAAUGGGUAAAGAAGCACCGGCUAACUACGUG